AAAAAAGAGUGGUGGUAAAGAAGAAAAAGAAAAAAUGAUGAAAAAGAGACAGAAGAAAAAAUAAUCAACGAUAAACAUGAGGCUUCCUAAUUUUUAUGCUUUUCAUAUGUAACCUACCAACCUAUGCAUCAUAUAUUUCAGCUAGUCAUAAAGUCAUCUACACUUUAGCAUUAUACCAUGAUCUAAGUGGCAUUAAGUUUCAUUAUUUUCUUUUAAAUCUUCAAGAUAAGACUUGCCCACCUUUAAGUAUGCUUGCUCUUUUAAGAGAAAUAUUUGAAGACUUAAAUAUCUUUUGAUUUUUUGGGAAAAAGGCAUGAAACUAUUGUAUUGGUUGUAAUAAUUAUUACUUCUGGUCAUAAUUUACACAGUCAUAUCUUUAGAUUAGGACAUCCAAAAUGAUCAGAUAUCCGUCAAAUCAGAAAAACUGGCAUACAGCCUGAUGAAUAAAGUUAAAAUAUUGAAUAUAGUACAUGCUCUAGAAUAGUGUCGCACCAUUUAGUAGUAGUAGGGUGGUCUUAUAGAUGCAUAUCCUAAAAAGACAUCCUACUUCACAAACCACGCUUUUCAUGUUGACUAACUGGCAUAGGAUUAGACAAGCAUGCAAGUUUAACACAUUUUGCAAGCACAUAAUACAGAUCCCCAACUUACUAAAUAGAACUCAAGAUGACGUCAAGUCCAACCAUUCCCACAACUGAGAAAAACAAAAACAUGCAACUAGCAGGGAAAAGAAUAAGAAAUUUGUUUAAUCUUACACUAUAAUGACGAUGAGUACCAUAUGGUUGUCCAACAAGAUC
rnacentral:misc_RNA from 1 species